CUGAUUUAACUUUUUGUACCCUUCGUGACAAUGGCCGUUUUAACAUUUCUGCGCUGCUCGUGUUUAGCUGUAAUUUUCUUCUUUCCCGUUUACUGAACCCACACAAGUUAUAUAUUAUAUUGUUUUUUUCAGGACAAGAAGGGCUUUCUUUAGAUGACAUUGUUUUGAUUGUAUCAUAUUAUUUACUAUUAAAAAAAUUAUAAAAUAUGGUGAAAAA